CGAAAAGUAACCGUACAGAUAGGAGAACGAAAGUUAGGGAGAAAGGGAGAGCGCCUCAAUAAGCCUUCCGUCGUUCAAAGAGCCGUACAGAAGUUAGUGGUUCUAGUUGAAGGCAACUAGGGAGAAAGCAUCAGAUGCUGUAAGUUAAGGUGUCAAAUAUUCAAUCUAGAAUAGGUCAAUUUUUGGAAUAUGUAAAUUCCAUUGUUUGUUUGAAUGACAUUAAAUUUGUCUCGUUUAAGGACACAUCAGAACAAGGGUGAAAUUACUGUUGAUUAUUUUCAAGGGUGUAAAGUAUUUUUCAUUUACAAAUGUUACUCCAACAGUAAUUUGGUGGGAGUGUAACUGGCGCCAAGACUGAGUUGUUGGUUGCCAUGACAACAAAAAAAAUAAUUUAUUUUAGGCUUGUUGUUUAGCUAAAGUAUUUCAUAUUUCUAUGUGAACUUUCAUAUUUGUUUUUUCCUUAAAUCCUCUGAAUAUGUUAUCCGGAAUGUUUGUUAAAAAUCACUUCCGGGUCAAGUGCCGUGUAUAGCGAGGAAUGAGAGAAAGAUCGAGAAGACAACGGGAGACGGAGAGAGAGAGAGUCAGAGAACUAUGAUACCGUGUGAUCUACGUGAUUUAUCGUUAUUUGAUCUACUUUCGGUUUACCAAGGUGCACACGUUUUCACGGUGUUCCAUGAAUAAACGUUUUGGACAUCAGUACGAGGCGUCAUCCUUGACCGGGGUAGAUACAGUGAAAACGUGUCCUCAUCCAUCCUUCUGGAGGCUUCGGCGCGCAGGUGCUUCCCCCACGGCAAGCUAAGCUAUCGGCUUCGGCGCACAUCACGUAGCAAGCUACGAGCUACAUCGAGCGUCGUCGCACUCGACCCGCGUGCCACGCAGCUAUCCACGAGCUACUUCGAACGUCGUCGCACUCAACCCGCAGCAAGCUACAGGCCUCAGCAUG